rnacentral:misc_RNA from 1 species
GAAAUGCGAUAAGUAAUGUGAAUUGCAGAAUUCAGUGAAUCAUCGAAUCUUUGAACGCACAUUGCGCCCGCCAGUACUCUGGCGGGCAUGCCUGUCCGAGCGUCAUUUCAACCCUCGAGCCCCCGCCGCGCCUGCCCUCCCCGGGCGGGCGGCGCGGGGCUCGGCGUUGGGGGCUCCACGGCCCCGAGCCGCCCCCGAAAUGCAGUGGCGACCCCGCCGCGGCCUCCCCUGCGCAGUAGCUCCCAGAGAACCUCGCACCGGAAGCGCGGAGGCGGUCACGCCGUAAAACAACCUCCUCCUGGAAGUUGACCUCGGAUCAGGUAGGGAUACCCGCUGAACUUAA